AGAGUUUGAUCCUGGCUCAGAACGAACGUUAGCGGCGCGCCUAACACAUGCAAGUCGCACGAGAAAGGGCUUCGGCCCCGGUACAGUGGCGCACGGGUGAGUAACACGUGGGUAACGUUUCCUCGGGCGGGGGAUAACCUUCCGAAAGGGGGGCUAAUACCGCAUAAGACCACGGCCUCGAAAGAGGGCGCGGUAAAAGCAGGCCUCUACAUGUAAGCUUGCACCUAAGGAUCGGCCCGCGGCCCAUCAGCUAGUUGGUAGGGUAAUGGCCUACCAAGGCUAAGACGGGUAGCUGGUCUGAGAGGAUGAUCAGCCACACUGGAACUGAGACACGGUCCAGACUCCUACGGGAGGCAGCAGUGGGGAAUCUUGCGCAAUGGACGAAAGUCUGACGCAGCGACGCCGCGUGGGUGAUGAAGGCCUUCGGGUUGUAAAGCCCUGUGGGGAGGGACGAAUAAGUCGGAGCUAAUACCUCCGGCGAUGACGGUACCUCCUUAGCAAGCACCGGCUAACUCUGUGCCAGCAGCCGCGGUAAGACAGAGGGUGCAAACGUUGUUCGGAAUUACUGGGCGUAAAGCGUGUGUAGGCGGCCGUGCAAGUCGGAUGU
rnacentral:rRNA from 1 species